GGAAUCUUCCACAAUGGGCGAAAGCCUGAUGGAGCAACGCCGCGUGUGUGAUGAAGGCUUUCGGGUCGUAAGCACUGUUGUAUGGGAGAACAGCUAGAAUAGGAAAUGAUUUUAGUUUGACGGUACCAUACCAGAAAGGGACGGCUAAUACGUGCCAG
rnacentral:rRNA from 1 species